GAUGAACGCUGGCGGCGUGCCUAAUACAUGCAAGUCGAGCGAACAGAUAAGGAGCUUGCUCCUUUGACGUUAGCGGCGGACGGGUGAGUAACACGUGGAUAACCUACCUAUAAGACUGGGAUAACUUCGGGAAACCGGAGCUAAUACCGGAUAACAUAUUGAACCGCAUGGUUCAAUAGUGAAAGGCGGCUUUGCUGUCACUUAUAGAUGGAUCCGCGCCGUAUUAGCUAGUUGGCAAGGUAACGGCUUACCAAGGCAACGAUACGUAGCCGACCUGAGAGGGUGAUCGGCCACACUGGAACUGAGACACGGUCCAGACUCCUACGGGAGGCAGCAGUAGGGAAUCUUCCGCAAUGGGCGAAAGCCUGACGGAGCAACGCCGCGUGAGUGAUGAAGGUCUUCGGAUCGUAAAACUCUGUUAUCAGGGAAGAACAAAUGUGUAAGUAACUGUGCACAUCUUGACGGUACCUGAUCAGAAAGCCACGGCUAACUACGUG
rnacentral:rRNA from 1 species